UGGCGUUUGUUCCUCAGGCCCAUCCACUUAGAGUCAGGGCUGAUUUCCGUUGCUGGUUGGCCGGGUCCUCUCUUUCCCUCAGCAUAGAGAGGAGCAGGAACAAGCACCCUUUCAAGCUGAAUAGCCAGGGAUGUGGGAAGUUUUUCAUAAAGCUCCCCUUUAAAAGUGGGGAGUCCUAAGUAGCUUUUGCAGAGGAUGUGCCAUUGGUUCCCAGCCACCUGGCCGUUCACAACCAUCCACAACCCCAGUUCCAGGGGAUAUGACACCCACUUCUGAACUAUGCUGGUACUAGGCACCCACGUGGUGCUCAUACAUGCAUGCAAGCAAAACAUGCAUACAUAUAAAAGAAGUAAAAAUCGAAACCCCCAAAAUGUCUAUAUGUUUUGCUUGAAUUUCAAACAUUGCAUUCCAGAUACUGAUUGUGUCUGAGCCAAACGAGAAAACAACAGAUGUGUCGAGCUAAAGUGCACCUUACAAAAAGAAGCUGGGGCCUGCAGCACACCAUUGUCCCCACCAGCUGCAGAAGGUAAUAAUUCUUCCCAGCCACUCUGUGACUUGCUGGGUUUGGAAUCCUGCCCAGGAAAGCUGCAAAGCUGACCCAAUUCUCAGAGAAAGCCAUUGCUCUGGAGAGCUCAGCUCACAGGGGCGUGACUGCAUCAGAGGUUAUGGGAACAGGAAGCCUGCCAGAAUCUGGGGCCAGAAACAAAUCACCAGAAGAAUCAACACAUGAAUGCCGUGGAGAAGAAUAUACCAACGCUUCUCUGCUCCGUGGCAGAAGAGCUUUCCGUGUUUUUCUACACACCUAUGCUCAUCCUCGUGGCUUCCCACCUCCCCCACUACCCCUAGAUUCUAUUUCCCAAGCCCUACCUUCCAUCACUGUCCCCACCCCCUUUUGUCCCCGGGGUUUCAACCUAGCAAUCUCAAACAGGAUUGCUUGGAAAGAGGGGGCUGUGUCUGUCCCUGGGGUUAAAUCCUCAAAAGAUGGAGCAUUUGUGAAUUAAGUCCGGUCUCUGUAAAGGUGUCCAGGUCUCUCCUGAAACUGACGGAGCCAGGUUUUCCAGGCUGUGUGAACUCCUUGAGCCUCGGGCCAUCCUUGGUGGUCUUUGCUUUGGUGAUGCUGCAGGGGUGGGGCUGCCCUUGUAAUUGGUAAGGACAGGAGCACUUUGCCCACUGCUCCAUUACCUUC